rnacentral:rRNA from 1 species
AAUCAACGCUGGCGGCGUGCCUAACACAUGCAAGUCGAACGAGAAAGUGGAGCAAUCCAUGAGUAAAGUGGCGACCGGGUGAGUAACACGUGACUAACCUACCUUCGAGUGGGGGAUAAC